CACGUAGGGCGCAAGCGUUGUCCGGAAUUAUUGGGCGUAAAGAGCUCGUAGGCGGUCUGUUGCGUCCGCUGUGAAAACUCGGGGCUUAACCCCGAGCCUGCAGUGGAUACGGGCAGACUAGAGGUAGGUAGGGGAGAAUGGAAUUCCCGGUGUAGCGGUGAAAUGCGCAGAUAUCGGGAGGAACACCGGUGGCGAAGGCGGUUCUCUGGGCCUGUACUGACGCUGAGGUGCGAAAGCGUGGGGAGCAAACAGG
rnacentral:rRNA from 1 species